UACGGGGGGAGCAAGCGUUGGUCGGAUUUACUGGGCGUAAAGGGCGGGUAGGCGGCCACCGCAAGUCAGUUGUGAAAUCUCUGGGCUUAACCCAGAAAGGUCAACUGAUACUGCGGGGCUAGAGUGCAGAAGGGGCAACUGGAAUUCUCGGUGUAGCGGUGAAAUGCGUAGAUAUCGAGAGGAACACCUGCGGCGAAGGCGGGUUGCUGGGCUGAUACUGACGCUGAGGCGCGAAAGCCAGGGGAGCGAACGGG
rnacentral:rRNA from 1 species